rnacentral:rRNA from 1 species
UUGAACGCUGGCGGCAGGCCUAACACAUGCAAGUCGAGCGGUAACACAGAGAGCUUGCUCUCGGGUGACGAGCGGCGGACGGGUGAGUAAUGUCUGGGAAACUGCCUGAUGGAGGGGGAUAACUACUGGAAACGGUAGCUAAUACCGCAUAACGUCGCAAGACCAAAGUGGGGGACCUUCGGGCCUCAUGCCAUCAGAUGUGCCCAGAUGGGAUUAGCUAGUAGGUGGGGUAACGGCUCACCUAGGCGACGAUCCCUAGCUGGUCUGAGAGGAUGACCAGCCACACUGGAACUGAGACACGGUCCAGACUCCUACGGGAGGCAGCAGUGGGGAAUAUUGCACAAUGGGCGCAAGCCUGAUGCAGCCAUGCCGCGUGUGUGAAGAAGGCCUUCGGGUUGUAAAGCACUUUCAGCGGGGAGGAAGGCGGUGAGGUUAAUAACCUCAUCGAUUGACGUUACCCGCAGAAGAAGCACCGGCUAACUCCGUGCCAGCAGCCGCGGUAAUACGGAGGGUGCAAGCGUUAAUCGGAAUUACUGGGCGUAAAGCGCACGCAGGCGGUCUGUCAAGUCGGAUGUGAAAUCCCCGGGCUCAACCUGGGAACUGCAUUCGAAACUGGCAGGCUAGAGUCUUGUAGAGGGGGGUAGAAUUCCAGGUGUAGCGGUGAAAUGCGUAGAGAUCUGGAGGAAUACCGGUGGCGAAGGCGGCCCCCUGGACAAAGACUGACGCUCAGGUGCGAAAGCGUGGGGAGCAAACAGGAUUAGAUACCCUGGUAGUCCACGCCGUAAACGAUGUCGAUUUGGAGGUUGUGCCCUUGAGGCGUGGCUUCCGGAGCUAACGCGUUAAAUCGUCCGCCUGGGGAGUACGGCCGCAAGGUUAAAACUCAAAUGAAUUGACGGGGGCCCGCACAAGCGGUGGAGCAUGUGGUUUAAUUCGAUGCAACGCGAAGAACCUUACCUGGUCUUGACAUCCACAGAACUUUCCAGAGAUGGAUUGGUGCCUUCGGGAACUGUGAGACAGGUGCUGCAUGGCUGUCGUCAGCUCGUGUUGUGAAAUGUUGGGUUAAGUCCCGCAACGAGCGCAACCCUUAUCCUUUGUUGCCAGCGGUUAGGCCGGGAACUCAAAGGAGACUGCCAGUGAUAAACUGGAGGAAGGUGGGGAUGACGUCAAGUCAUCAUGGCCCUUACGACCAGGGCUACACACGUGCUACAAUGGCAUAUACAAAGAGAAGCGACCUCGCGAGAGCAAGCGGACCUCAUAAAGUAUGUCGUAGUCCGGAUUGGAGUCUGCAACUCGACUCCAUGAAGUCGGAAUCGCUAGUAAUCGUAGAUCAGAAUGCUACGGUGAAUACGUUCCCGGGCCUUGUACACACCGCCCGUCACACCAUGGGAGUGGGUUGCAAAAGAAGUAGGUAGCUUAACCUUCGGGAGGGCGCUUACCACUUUGUGAUUCAUGACUGGGGUG